GGAAAUGUGGCUUAGUGGUAGAGUGCUUGCCUACCAUGCAUGAAGCCCUGGGUUCAAUUCCUCAGUACCA
rnacentral:tRNA from 1 species